rnacentral:rRNA from 1 species
GAUGAACGCUGGCGGCAUGCUUAAUACAUGCAAGUCGGACGGGAAGAGGUGUUUCUUGUGGCGGACGUGUGAGCAACGCGCAAGAACCUGCCCUUGGGAUGGGCACACUAGCAGGAAAGGGCAGCUAAUACACCCUGGGCUGAGUAGCAAAAGGAAGAAUCCACCCGAGGAGGCGCUUGCGACUGAUUAGCUUGCUGGCGCGUCAAGAGGUGACCAAGGCGAUGAUCAGUAGCUGUUCCGAGAGGAUGAUCAGCCACACUGGGACUGGGCCACGCCGCAGGGUCCUACGGGAGGCGGGCGUGAGGAGUAUGCCGCAAUGGGGGGAAACCUAACAAGGCACUGCCGCGUGGAAGUGGACGGCCCACGGGUCAAGAACUGCUUUUGCAGCAGAAGAAGCAAUGACGGUAUCUGGGGAAAAAGCAUCGGCUAACUCCGUG